GCUUGGGAACUUGCCUUUCGGAGGGGGAUAACCAUUGGAAACGAUGGCUAAUACCGCAUAACGUCUACGGACCAAAGUGGGGGAUCUUCGGACCUCACACCGAGAGAUAGGCCCAAGUGAGAUUAGCUAGUUGGUGGGGUAAAGGCUCACCAAGGCGACGAUCUCUAGCUGUUCUGAGAGGAUGAUCAGCCACACUGGGACUGAGACACGGCCCAGACUCCUACGGGAGGCAGCAGUGGGGAAUAUUGCACAAUGGGGGAAACCCUGAUGCAGCCAUGCCGCGUGUGUGAAGAAGGCCUUCGGGUUGUAAAGCACUUUCAGUGGUGAGGAAGGCUAUCGUGUUAAUAGCGCGGUAGAUUGACGUUAGCCACAGAAGAAGCACCGGCUAACUCCGUGCCAGCAGCCGCGGUAAUACGGAGGGUGCGAGCGUUAAUCGGAAUUACUGGGCGUAAAGCGUACGUAGGCGGCUCAUUAAGCAAGAUGUGAAAGCCCCGGGCUCAACCUGGGAAUGGCAUUUUGAACUGGUGAGCUCGAGUUUUGAAGAGGGUGGUAGAAUUUCCAGUGUAGCGGUGAAAUGCGUAGAUAUUGGAAGGAAUACCAGUGGCGAAGGCGGCCACCUGGUCAAGAACUGACGCUGAGGUACGAAAGCGUGNGGAGCAAACAGGAUUAGAUACCCUGGUAGUCCACGCCGUAAACGAUGUCAACUAGUUGUUCGUUUCAUAAACGAAGUGAGUAACGCAGCUUACGCACUAAGUUGACCCGCCUGGGGAGUACGGCCGCCAGGUUAAAACUUCAAUGAAUUGACGGGGGCCCCCACCAACGGGGGGAGAUUUGGU
rnacentral:rRNA from 1 species